rfam:Shigella dysenteriae Sd197, complete genome.
CACCGUACUUUUGUACGGGGUUUGUACUCUGUAUUCGUAACCAAGGGGUCAGCUCGUG